rnacentral:rRNA from 1 species
GAUGAACGCUGGCGGCGUGCCUAAUACAUGCCAGUCGAGCGAACAGAUGAGGAGCUUGCUCCUCUGACGUUAGCGGCGGACGGGUGAGUAACACGUGGAUAACCUACCUAUAAGACUGGGAUAACUUCGGGAAACCGUAGCUAAUACCGGAUAAUAUUUUGAACCGCAUGGUUCAAUAGUGAAAGACGGUUUUGCUGUCACUUAUAGAUGGAUCCGCGCCGCAUUAGCUAGUUGGUAAGGUAACGGCUUACCAAGGCAACGAUGCAUAGCCGACCUGAGAGGGUGAUCGGCCACACUGGAACUGAGACACGGUCCAGACUCCUACGGGAGGCAGCAGUAGGGAAUCUUCCGCAAUGGGCGAAAGCCUGACGGAGCAACGCCGCGUGAGUGAUGAAGGUCUUCGGAUCGUAAAACUCUGUUAUUAGGGAAGAACAAAUGUGUAAGUAACUAUGCACGUCUUGACGGUACCUAAUCAGAAAGCCACGGCUAACUACGUG